AUUGAACGCUGGCGGUAUGCUUAACACAUGCAAGUCGAACGGUAGCAGGCCUUCGGGCGCCGACGAGUGGCGGACGGGUGAGUAACGCGUAGGAAUCUGCCUCAUAGUGGGGGACAACGUGGGGAAACUCACGCUAAUACCGCAUACGCCCUACGGGGGAAAGCGGGGGCUCUUCGGACCUCGCGCUAUGAGAUGAGCCUGCGUUAGAUUAGCUAGUUGGUAGGGUAAAAGCCUACCAAGGCGACGAUCUAUAGCUGGUCUGAGAGGACGAUCAGCCACACUGGGACUGAGACACGGCCCAGACUCCUACGGGAGGCAGCAGUGGGGAAUAUUGGACAAUGGGCGCAAGCCUGAUCCAGCAAUACCGCGUGUGUGAAGAAGGCCCUAGGGUUGUAAAGCACUUUCAAUUGGGAGGAAAACCUGCCGGUCAAUACCCGGCAGCUUGACAUUACCUUUAGAAGAAGCACCGGCUAACUCCGUGCCAGCCGCCGCUGUAAUAC
rnacentral:rRNA from 1 species